rnacentral:rRNA from 1 species
GAUGAACGCUGGCGGCGUGCCUAAUACAUGCAAGUCGAGCGAACAGACGAGGAGCUUGCUCCUCUGACGUUAGCGGCGGACGGGUGAGUAACACGUGGAUAACCUACCUAUAAGACUGGGAUAACUUCGGGAAGCCGGAGCUAAUACCGGAUAAUAUAUUGAACCGCAUGGUUCAAUAGUGAAAGACGGUUUUGCUGUCACUUAUAGAUGGAUCCGCGCCGCAUUAGCUAGUUGGUAAGGUAACGGCUUACCAAGGCAACGAUGCGUAGCCGACCUGAGAGGGUGAUCGGCAACACUGGAACUGAGACACGGUCCAGACUCCUACGGGAGGCAGCAGUAGGGAAUCUUCCGCAAUGGGCGAAAGCCUGACGGAGCAACGCCGCGUGAGUGAUGAAGGUCUUCGGAUCGUAAAACUCUGUUAUUAGGGAAGAACAAAUGUGUAAGUAACUAUGCACGUCUUGACGGUACCUAAUCAGAAAGCCACGGCUAACUACGUG